rnacentral:rRNA from 1 species
CCUACGGGUGGCAGCAGUAGGGAAUAUUGCGCAAUGGGGGAAACCCUGAAGCAGCAACGCCGCGUGGAGGAUGAAGGUUUUCGGAUUGUAAACUCCUUUUGUUAGAGAAGAUAAUGACGGUAUCUAACGAAUAAGCACCUGCUAACUCCGUGCCAGCAGCCGCGGUAAUACGGAGGGUGCAAGCGUUACUCGGAAUCACUGGGCGUAAAGAGCGCGUAGGCGGGAUAGCAAGUCAGAUGUGAAAUCCUAUGGCUUAACCAUAGAACUGCAUUUGAAACUGGUAUUCUAGAGUAUGGGAGAGGUAGGUGGAAUUCUAGGUGUAGGGGUAAAAUCCGUAGAGAUAAAGAGGAAUACUCAUUGCGAAGGCGACCUGCUGGAACAUAACUGACGCUGAUGCGCGAAAGCGUGGGGAGCAAACAGGAUUAGAUACCCGAGUAGUC